AGUCUGGUGCCAGCAGCCGCGGUAAUUCCAGCACCAGUAGCGUAUACCUAUCUUGUUGCAGUUAAAAAGCUCGUAGCUGAAACUUGGGACUGAGCGGCAGGGUCUGCCGGGACGGUGUGUACCAGUCGCUCUUUCCUUCCUUCCGGUUUUUGCUUGCGUGUGGGACUUCACUGUUCCGCCGUGUAGCUCCGGAUCUUUCACUGUGAAUAAAGUAACGCGCUCUAAGCAGGCCUAAUUAUGCCUUGAAUAUUUCAGCAUGGGAUGAUACAACAGGUCUUUGCGUCUAUUUUGUUGGUUUCUAGAAGGCGAAGAAAUGAUUAAUGGGAACAGUUAGGGGAAUUAAUAUUUUGCGGUCAGAGGUGAAAUUCUUGGAUUCGUGAAAGAUUAACUUCUGCGAAAGCAUUUUCCAGAGAUGUUUCCGUCAGUCAAGAACUAAAGUUGGGGGAUCGAAGAUGAUCAGAUACCGUCGUAGUCUCAACCAUAAACUAUGCCGACCAGGGAUUCGGGGCAAGUUAAUUGGACGACUCUCCGAGCACCUUGCGAGAAAUCAUUGAGUCUUUGGGUUCUGGGGGGAGUAUGGUCGCAAGGCUGAAACUUAAAGAAAUUGACGGAAGGGCACACCAAGAGUGGAGCCUGCGGCUUAAUUUGACCCAACGCGGGGAAUUUUACCAAGUCCGGACAGAAAAAGGAUUGACAGAUUAAAGCUCUUUCCUGAUUUUUUGGGUGGUGGUGCAUGGCCGUUUGUAGUUGGUGGAGUGAUUUGUCUGCUUAAUUGCGUUAACGAACGAGACCUCAGCCUACUAAAUAGUUAUGCGAACCUUCUGUUUGGUGAAGGCAAGGGGACAGUCUCUUCUUUCGGGAGGAGGCAUCCCCGUGCUGAAUCCUUGAUGCGUUCGUAGCGAUACUUCUUAGAGGGACAAUUGGUGUCAAGCCAAUGGAAGUUUGAGGCAACAACAGGUCUGUGAUGCCCUUAGAUGUCUUGGGCGGCACGCGCGCUACAAUGAUCGGUUCAACGAGUUUUUCACCUUGUGCGGAAGCACUGGGUAAUCUUUUCAAAGCCGUUCGUGUUGGGGAUAGAUCUUUGCAAUUUUGGAUCUUCAACGAGGAAUUCUUAGUAAGUGCAAUUCAUCAUAUUGCGUUGACUUCGUCCCUGCCCUUUGUACACACCGCCCGUCGCUCCAACCGAUAGCAGGAUCCGGUGAGAUCUCGGGAUGGCGGGUACACCCACGCGGGCAACUGUGUGGGUCGCACGCCAGAACUUGCUCGAACCUUAUCUUGUAGAGGAUGGAGAAGUCGUA
rnacentral:rRNA from 1 species